UCAGUUUCUGUUCGGCCUAAUUUUCGAUGAAACGUUGACUGUUCGGGCUCCACGCUACGUUUUCAACGCACAAAAUAGUUUAAAGUUAGGUCAAAAGCUGAUAUGAUUUUUAUACAAUUAUUGAAAAAACCGAAACAAAAAUGAUACAUGGGAUGCUUGUUUUUACAUAUAUACUGCAUUCUUUCGAUUGGAAACUAUGAAUGUGUUAAAUUUAUAAAAAAAUUUACUAAGAAAAGAGGUUUUCUUUUAUGAAGAAGACACCAUGUCGAAAGAAAAUAUUAAUCUACCAAAAGUCCCAAAAGAUUUGUGCUUCUCAGAACUUGAUUUCAUUCAGCAAAAUUUCAAUGUAGAUACUUUUCUACAAGAACAUAGAAAGAACACAAAAUUGGAAACGAUGCGAGAUGAUUUGGGAAUAUAUUUGAAAUUGUUAAGAUCCGCUAUGAUCGAUUUAAUCAACAGAGAUUAUACAGAUUUUGUGAAUUUAUCAAGUAAUCUUAUCGGUUUGGAUAAAGCUAUCAAUAACCUGCAAACACCGUUAGGUCAAUUGAAAGAGGAAAUAAUGCAAAUACGACAAACUUUGGACGACGAAAUUAUUGUAAUUUCUCAUAAUGUAAAUGAUUGCGAGAAACUUAGAGAAUACAAGAAGAGUAUAUUCAGCUUACAAUAUAUUUAUAAUUCUUUCAACAAAUUGUCAAACACAUUAUCUUUAAAUACAUUUCUUGAAAGUACAGUUAAAAUAGAUAUCUUGGAACAAAUUGCAGCAGAAUUCAGUCAGUUACAAUUUUACAUGUCCAGAUGCAAAUUGGAUAUUAUCAAUGAUAAACAAAAGGAAUAUGAAAAACUUGAACAGACUUAUAUGACGUAUCUUAACGAAUUGUUCUUGGCAUCUUUGCAAGAAAAAAAUUCUGAUUUUUUAAUUCGAUGUUUAAGAAUUUAUGUUACGCUUGACAAAAUAAACGAUGCAGAAAAUUUAAUAAGAAAAGAAGUUGUUAGUCCAUUGGUUCGUAGUGCAAUUAGCAUAGAAAACUUACAAACCAAUUCGCUUGGCCUACAAGAUAUUUACGAUAGAUUGUUGAAUAUUUUGAAUGUAGACCUCGAACUGCUUUUGGACAUCACAUCCAAAGUUUCCGCGGAGAAACGAAGAAUACAAUUCGAUUUUGUGGUAAACAGUUUUUGGAUCGAGGUGGAAGAAAAGAUGGAACAAUAUAUUAAAUGUGUUUUUGCACCCGGAGAUCCAGUAUUAUUUCAUUCGAGAUACAUUGCAACUCUCAAGUUUUUAGAGAAAUUGGAAGAUAAAUGUCUUACACACGAACCUUAUGUAGCAUUAAAAGAAAAUCCACAGUAUAAACGUUUUUUAAUAAAGUGGAAUUUACCAGUCUAUUUUCAAAUACGAUUUCAAGAAAUAGCCAGUGCGGUCGAAACGGUACUAACAGAACCAAUAUCACCAGCAUGUGUAAAGGGAACAUUAGAAACGUUUACGCAAAAGCAUUUUUCUCUUCAUGCAACCUAUAUCAUUGCGAUAAAUAUACAAAGAAUUUGGUCCAAAGACGUAUAUUUGAGUCAGCUUUUUCAUCGAUUUUGGAAAUUCACUCUUCAGAUAUGUGCCAGAUAUCAAAUGUGGAUUCAUAGAGCCCUUAAAGAAGUAUGGACAAUAGAAAACCAAGUAAAUAAUCCAAACAAAGCAGAACAUUCGACGAGGCUCAACUUUCUUAUUUGUUUGUACGAAGAUGUAAAGAAAUUUAUAGCCGCGUCUUCGCGUCUUUUAAACAUGAUCCAGUCGAAACUUGAACGAACAACUGAAAAAAUAUUGAAAUUAUUGAAAGAUUCCUUCGAUGAAACGAUUAAGAACUUGGAAACCAUUUUGCCACAAAUCACAGAAGAAAUUGUAAACGAACUUUUGAAACAAUCUGUGGUACAUUUGAAACAAGUCAGUGAUAUACCAAGAUUAUUUAGACGAACAAAAAGGGAUAUACCAACAAAACCAUGUGCUUACGUAAAAAAUAGUCUUAUAUUUCUAAUCAAUUUUCAUCGAGAGUAUAAUGAACUGAUACUAGAUGACGUUAAUCGCUGGUUGGAAUUAGCUCUAUCUUCAUUAACUAAACAUUACUUAGCUUCUGUAACAGAUGUAUUAACAUCGGUACAAAAAACUGAGGAAAGCUUGAGAAGAUUAAAAAAAAUACGCGAUAAAUCCACGGGUUCAUUUUCUUCUGAAGCACAAGGAAUCAGUGAUGAUGAAAAAAUACGUAUUCAGUUGCAAGUUGAUGUACAAGCUUAUGCCAACAUGAUUACAGAGAUGGAAAUUUCAAUUUCAAACGUGUCUCACGUGGAAGAAUUGUUACACGCUGUUGAAACAGCGAUCAAAAGAUAAUAUUCUUUUUUCAUUUUUUAAACGAACAGCAGCAACAACAACAACAACAACAACAACAACAAAAGUGAUACUUUUCAUUUGUUUGUUGCUUUGUCAGUAAACAUUUAAUGUAUUAUUUACAUAUAUAUUAUGUUUAUAUUACAAAACUCGUACUAGUAUGUUUUAACCGAUUUUGAUUGUGAAACAUGGAAUU